AGAGCGAACGCUGGCGGCAGGCUUAACACAUGCAAGUCGAGCGGGCGUAGCAAUACGUCAGCGGCAGACGGGUGAGUAACGCGUGGGAACAUACCUUUUGGUUCGGAACAACACAGGGAAACUUGUGCUAAUACCGGAUAAGCCCUUACGGGGAAAGAUUUAUCGCCAAAAGAUUGGCCCGCGUCUGAUUAGCUAGUUGGUGAGGUAAUGGCUCACCAAGGCGACGAUCAGUAGCUGGUCUGAGAGGAUGAUCAGCCACAUUGGGACUGAGACACGGCCCAAACUCCUACGGGAGGCAGCAGUGGGAAUAUUGGACAAUGGGCGCAAGCCUGAUCCAGCCAUGCCGCGUGAGUGAUGAAGGCCCUAGGGUUGUAAAGCCUUUUGUACGGAGAAAAGCUUCGGGUUAACAACCGGGAGUCAUGACGGUACCGUAAGAAUAAGCACCGGCUAACUUCGCGCCAGCAGCCGCGGUAA
rnacentral:rRNA from 1 species